GACGAACGCUGGCGGCAUGCCUAACACAUGCAAGUCGAACGAAACGAUCGGGACCUGGCGCCCACGAGGGCGUAACCGGUCGGAACCUGCCCAUAGGGUCGGAAUAACUCCCAGAAAGGGGUGCUAUCACCGGACCAUGUCUUCGGACCAAAGAUUUAUCGCGCUUGGAUGGGCCCACGUUGGAUAAGCUGGUUGGUAGGGUAAAAGCUUACCAAGGCGACGAUCCAUAGCUGGGUAGAGAGGCGGGUCAGCAACUCUGGGACUGAGACACGGCCCAGACUCCUACGGGAGGCAGCAGUGGGGAAUAUUGGACAAUGGGCGAAAGCAUGAUCCAGCAAUGCCGCUUGAGUGCUGAAGGUCUUAGGGUUGUAAAGCUCUUUUACCCGGGAUGAUAAUGACAGUACCGAGAGAAUAAGCUCCGGCUAACUCCGUG
rnacentral:rRNA from 1 species